rnacentral:rRNA from 1 species
CCCUUAGAUGUUCUGGGCUGCACGCGCGCUACACUGAUGCACUCAACGAGUUUUCGACCUUGCCCGAUAGGGCUGGGUAAUCUUUUUAAAAUGCAUCGUGAUGGGGAUAGAUUAUUGCAAUUAUUAAUCUUCAACGAGGAAUUCCUAGUAAGCGCGAGUCAUCAGCUCGUGCUGAUUACGUCCCUGCCCUUUGUACACACCGCCCGUCGCUACUACUGAUUGGAUGUUUAAGCGAGGUUCUCGAACUGCUAGUGACUGAUCUUCGGUGAGGUCGCAGUGUGGGAAGUGAACCUAGCUUUGGUGUCUAGAGGAAGUAAAAGUCGUAACA